ACUCAUAAACUAAAGUUUUAAAGCUAAAACUCAUCCUAGAAAUUUUUGUGAAGAAGACCUAGUGGUAUAGAAAUUACUGAAGAGGUUAAUUGUAUUAAUUGUAAUGGAAAUCUUUUACUGGAAGUGAGUAAGAUUCCUGCAGAUGUACAGGCUAAAGGUGGUCCUCUUAGUAUCAGUGGAGAGGUAGCUCAUGCCAUCAAUCUCAGUGGACUGAGGGAAGUGUGUAUUAGGAGAGUGGAUAAAGAUGAAGUGACACUUGAUUUGGUUGUAUUCAUAUUUAAAAAAUGUUCAGCUAAUGGUACAGGAUGUGGUAUUUGUCAUUCAAGGGAUCUGUUGUUCAGGUUCACUGUAAAAACAAAAAGUUAGAAUAACCCCUGCUUGGUUACUUUCACCACUAAAUUUAAUAGUUAUUGUAACCCUUAUUUUGUUGUCUUAACUACUUUUAGGUUAAUUUUAAUCUGAGGAGUUAUUUUCACCAAAUUAAGUUAUUUUCACAUCUUGUAAAGUUGUAUUAACUAAUAUGAAAAUAUCUAAACCACAGACGUCAUUCUAAGUGGUU
rnacentral:lncRNA from 1 species